rnacentral:rRNA from 1 species
AGUGAACGCUGGCGGUAGGCCUAACACAUGCAAGUCGAACGGCAGCACAGUAAGAGCUUGCUCUUACGGGUGGCGAGUGGCGGACGGGUGAGGAAUACAUCGGAAUCUACUUUUUCGUGGGGGAUAACGUAGGGAAACUUACGCUAAUACCGCAUACGACCUACGGGUGAAAGCAGGGGAUCUUCGGACCUUGCGCGAUUGAAUGAGCCGAUGUCGGAUUAGCUAGUUGGCGGGGUAAAGGCCCACCAAGGCGACGAUCCGUAGCUGGUCUGAGACGAUGAUCGGCCAGACGGUAACUGAGACACGGUGCAGACUACUACGGGAGGCAGCAGUGGGGAAUAUUGGACAAUGGGCGAAAGCCUGGUCGAGCCAUACCGGGUGGGUGAAGAAGUCCGUCGGGUUGUAGAGCCCUUUUGUUGGGAAGGAAAUGUAGCCGGUGAGGAAGGCGGUGUUCGGACUGUACCCAACGAAUAAGCGCCGGCUAACUUCGUG